UCAGGCCUAACACAUGCAAGUCAAACGGGUUUUUUUAGCUUGCUAAAAAGAUAAGUGGCGAACGGGUGAGUAACGCGUGAGAAUUUACCUUUAGGAAGGCAAUAACAAUUAGAAAUAUUUGCUAAAAGCCUAUAUGCAUAUAAUGAAUUUUAUAUUGUGAAAUAAGUUUUCUUGCCUAAAGAGAAGCUCGCGUCUGAUUAACUAGUUGGUAGGGUAAAGGCCUACCAAGGUGACGAUCAGUAGCUGGUCUGAGAGGAUGAUCAGCCACACUGGAACUGAGACACGGUCCAGACUCCUACGGGAGGCAGCAGUGAGGAAUUUUCUGCAAUGGGCGAAAGCCUGACAGAGCAAUACCGCGUGAGGGAAGAAGGCCUAUGGGUUGUAAACCUCUUUUCUCAAGGAGGAAGAAA
rnacentral:rRNA from 1 species